rnacentral:ribozyme from 1 species
ACCGACCGUUGCUGCUACCUUGACGUGGUGGUCGGGCUUGCCUAUCGUGGUGAACCAAUAGAGCUAUGCUGGCUGGAACAAUCAUUCCUCAAGGUCCUACCAUGUCAGACAGGUCGGUUGAAGAGCGGUAAGACUAAAAGCAGC